UUCUUGGUUGUAAUUGAGUUACCAUUGGGGGUUAUUAGGAUUUACAGAUUUUGUAUGUCCUUUCACCCCAAACAGAUUCCUCGUUUAGCAUUACCAUUUCCUAUCUCAGUCGCCUCAUCAUGCCAAUAUCCAUAUCAACUUAUCAUGUGUGAAUAAUAUAUUAUAUGUCCACUCAGGUAUAUUGAAGAAAACUAUUCUAAGAUUCGUGAUGUCGAGCGAGAACUUGCCAACCUCUCGAUGGAAAUGAAGCUUACAGCUGGUCCAAAGAAAGCUGCACUUGAACGCCUACGGAAGAAAAUAGAAAUGUCAACAGAGAGAAUUCGAUUGGCUAAGAUGAAAGAAGAACAAGCUAAAAAGAAUUUGUACUUCUACUUUUCUCCGUACUCUCUGAUAAACACUGUUCCUAUCGCUAGGCCUGGGAAGCAGCAGCAAAAGACGUACAGGAUGAGGAAGCGAGCAAACAGAAGCUUUGUGACGAUCUAAAUAAUUUGGUCCAGGAAAGUAGCAACAGCCAACUUGCUCGACUGGAGGAACUGAAGCGCCGAAUGGAGUCUCUGAACCCGAGCAGAUCUUCCAAUACACAUACGCCCUCAGUAUGAUUCACUCAGACCUUCAUCUUGGAGUAUGCAUAUGCACUUAGUUUAUUCGUUUCUCUAUGCUUAAUGCUUUUGUUCUCUCCCCUAUGGUUGCGUUUCCAAGUAAACAAAUACGAGUUACCUCCCUAAACAAAAAGAAGAAUAGAUAAAGCGAGGAGAAAGAGAAAAAAAUGUGAAUAAUAAAUUAAGAAUAGUUUUAGUUUUAGGUUUGAAACUAGCUAAUUAUAGUGAAUGGAACAAUUAUCUUGAUAAAAGCAAUAUUUGGAUACAUUAUUUUAUAUCAUAAACUAAAAAUCUUGGAAAAAAUGGGCGAUAAUAUGAGAGUUAGUACACAGCAAAUAAGCAAUUAAAGAAAUAUUAAUGACAUUAUACUCAGAAAUCCACUUGAAUAGGUUGAUAAAAACAUUGAAUUUGACAUAACAUAGUGCAAAACAAAACUAGUGCAUAAAUCGUAGCUAGCUAGUGUUAAUGUGGAUUUGGAGUGAACCAAAAGGUUUUUGCAAGCCUCCUGCCUCUAUGAGAGGGAUGAGAGGGAUAAUAGAUGGAAGAUAUCUUUGUAUCCACAUAAUUAAAGAUGCCAAUAUCAUUGCCGCCUCUUAGUGUCACAUAAUCAUCACAGAAAUAUAUGGAGUCGGGUGUCAAGUUGAAGUCAGCCGCCGGAAGCGCGAAUGAGUUGCUGGUUCUGACAAACAUUGCCAAACCAUCCAAUGAACCCUCCAUUUUGGUGAGUGUCCCUUUGUUGGCAUCGAUUUCAUAGACUUUGAAAUUAAAGGUUUUGCAUGGGUAGUCCAUACAAACAGUCAUGGCGUAUUUCAUGUGGGAUCCGUCGGGCCCGACACGCCUGUAGAUAUCACGCUCCACUAGAAAUAGGCGGUCGGAAUGCUCGUCCAUCACCAGAUAGUUGUGGUGAUUAGAUAAUCUUCCGAAGUAGCUGUCGUCAAACUUGAAGUCACCCUCGGAGUACAAGGGAUGCUCCCACAGAAAGGAGGGAGAUUCGAGGUCCCAGCACUCGACCGAGUUACUCGUUAAGCAGAACAGGCGUUUCUGGCGGGCGGAGUAGGCGAUAUCACGGUAGUAGACUGGGUUGCACACGGGGAGCCAGGUGCUCCUGUUGUGGCUGGGGAAGCAGAGCUCAAUGCGGCUGCUUUCGUAAUUGUAGGUGACGAUGGCGCGGAAGUCGUGGGCAUCGGGAGAGGAGGAGGUUAGGAUAAUAUUGGAGGGAAAAGGCCAACCAAGUUUGGGAAGCUUUAUAUGGCGACCGGUGAUGGGAUUGGAGAGGAAAGCCUGUUGGUUGUCUUGAUUGAAUGAUGCCAUCUAGCCGCGGUUACAUCCCAAGUCAUGUAUUACUUGGCCUUGUGCCCACGCCGGCGGUGGCGUCUCCUUCUUGAUGCUCACCAUUUUCUUCUCCGCAAGGCUGUACAACUUAGUACUACUCCUAUAUGGUAGCAUCAGCCAAGGGGAUAUUGAUAUUUUGCAAUAAUUCCUACGGAAUAUAAAUUGGAGACUCAUUGGAGUAUACUAUAAUAAUAUCCCUAUCCCUAUCCCUCCAAUUAAUAUAUUGAAUUCACUCUUA